AGCAGCCGCGGUAAUUCCAGCUCCAAUAGCGUAUAUUAAAGUUGCUGCAGUUAAAAAGCUCGUAGUUGAAUUUCGGGACUGAUAUGUCGGUCGUGCCUCGGUACGUACUGGUAUUUUUGGUUUCUCCCUUCUGACGAACCUUGAUGUCAUUAAUUUGGUGUCUUGGGAAAUCAGGACUGUUACUUUGAAAAAAUUAGAGUGUUUAAAGCAGGCUCACGCUUGAAUACAUUAGCAUGGAAUAAUGAAAUAGGACGUUUGAUUCUAUUUUGUUGGUUUCUAGGAUCGACGUAAUGAUUAAUAGGGAUAGUUGGGGGCAUUAGUAUUCAAUUGUCAGAGGUGAAAUUCUUGGAUUUAUUGAAGACUAACUACUGCGAAAGCAUUUGCCAAGGAUGUUUUCAUUAAUCAAGAACGAAAGUUAGGGGAUCGAAGACGAUCAGAUACCGUCGUAGU
rnacentral:rRNA from 1 species